rnacentral:lncRNA from 1 species
GGACAGCACAACAAAAGAAAGACAUUCCAACAUCACCGAUUGCCUCGUGUUACUUUUCUUCUAGUUUUGGGGGGGGGGGUUGUGGCUCUGAAACAUAAAGUGGGAGAAAAGUGGGACAAAGACAAGAAGGAGCUAUUCUGUACCCAGGAGACUCUAAGGAAGAUUCUUGCUCCCAUGGUGUGGGAGAUACUAUGUGCUCUAUCGUGGGACUCCCCAGGCACAGGAAGAGGUGUAGCUCCUGUAGGGACUCAGAGAUGCAGGAAUACCGGAAGUCAGGGAUUACCAGCAACUCUAUGAAGAGGCUUAAAGAGUUGGAAUGAAAUGAAGAAGACUCCAUAGAUUUUUGUGGGUCACAGGAAAGGAUGUAUGUACAGAGUCUAGGACAGCCACAUCCAUAUUAUUC